UUGUUACAUAAACGACUGGGCUCCCCCUCGUGCCCUGAAACAGUUUGACUAGAGCAUGACCCCUUGACCUCUGUAUAGGCGCCCACCAGCCAAACGGACCAAUUACAUCAAACAUGGCUGCCUGGCUCCGUUCCGUUGUCCCUGGCAACAGCUGGUCGAGGAGUGGGAGCUGAUCGUGAAGGAGGAAGGAGGAGGAGGGGGAGGGGAGGAGGCAGUCGUACCAAUGGAACAGGAAGUGACACCACCACAGAGUAACUUCACAGUCUUGAGGAAUAGGAAGUCUCUAAGGCAGCUGUCCGCUUGGUGUCGCCCCACAUCCUCUAAAUGUCAGAGGGCACGUAACCCGGGAUCAACACCACAACUCAACCGUAAUGUUGCAGCGUCUCUCCUCUCGGCACACGGUGGCAGCAGCCUGGUGUGGAUCCGUCUCUCCCUCGUCACCAAGGGCCAACCGGAGCAGCACGCCCUGGUGUGUGUCCCCACCGCAGAGGACCUCCAGCUGGUACGUAAGGAGCCGGGCUGCACAGGGCCCCAGGAGCCGCUACACACUGACCACUUCAAGAGCCGCGUCAAACGGCCACGCAAGAAGGACCACAACAAACCUGGAACCUCCUCUUCCUCCGCCAAGCAGUCUGACCCUGCCUCAGUCCCUGGUGUCAACCCUGGUCCUGAUCCUAGCUCCUCCUCCAGCCUCACCAACCCCUGUACCUCAGUCCCUAGUGUCAACCCUGAUCCUAGCUCCUCCUCCAGCCUCACCAACCCCUGUACCUCAGCCCUGACUCUGGGUCUCUGGCCGGAGCCCCUUCCCAGCAUCACCUCCCACUGCUCCAGGGUGACUCUGGGCUGGGUGACCCAGGGGGACUUCUCCCUGUCGGCUGGCUGUGGAGAGGCUCUGGGGCUCCUCAGCCUUACUGGUCUCCUACACACCCUGCUCAGACAGCCUGAUGGCCAGAGAGGACUGGUGCUGCUACGGAACCCCGGAUCACUGCAAUACCGUUUCGCUAAGAUCAACAUAGAGGUCUGAGGAGUACUGUAGGUUCAAUCCCACAUCGCUAAGAUCAACAUAGAGGUCUGAGGAGUACUGCAGGUUCAAUCCCACAUCGCUAAGAUCAACAUAGAGGUCUGAGGAGUACUGCGGGUUCAAUCCCACAUCGCAACAGUACCGCUUCUCUAAGAUCAACAUAGAGGUCUGAGGAGUACUGCAGGUUCAAUCCCACGUCACUAAGGUCAACAGAGGUCUGAGGAGUACUGCGGGUUCAAUCCCACGUCACUAAGGUCAACAGAGGUCUGAGGAGUACUGCGGGUUCAAUCCCACGUCUGAGGAGUACUGCAGGUUCAAUCCCACAUCACAACAGUGCCGCUUCUGUUAGGGGUACUAGAUAUGAAAUAAAACACUGUGCCUAGUGCGAGUCCCUUCACCCCGACCCCUGUUAGGGGUACUAGAUAUUAAAUGCCUGGCAUGCACACACAACAUUACCCACAUUGAAUGACACAUUGUUUGAGUGGAAGAACUUUUUAUUGAUAAUAAUUCCCUGUCAAGGUUUUCUGCGAGUUUUUCAUUUGAGUUGAAAUGACAGUUUUUUUAAAUAUUUUUUGUUCAAUAUUGUUUUCACGGAAGGGACUGCCUUCAGAUUGUCACUGGGUGUGUACUGGUUCUGUAGAGAAGACACCAGUCAUUCUUUGGUUUGCCUGAUUCCCAUCUUUGUUUGGAUUUGAGAGCUGUAGUUGAAGUGGUUGACAAUAAAAAUCCCUCUACUCCAA